AAGACUCAGGAGGGUGUAUGGGUUCGGAACUGUAGGAUGAACAGUUUCCACUCGUUUGUUUACUUCCCUCAAGUCCUGAACAGGUCGAUAAUCCUUUGUGCCUGGUUUUAAGACGGGGAGUAAGGGAGUAUUCCAGGGGGACUUACAGGUAGUAAGGAUUCCUCCUUGUAGAAGUCUGGUUAUAUGUGGAGCAAUUCUCCGUCUAGCUUCCUGGCUCAUGGGAUAUUGUCGUACUUGGACUGGAGUUGCCGUUGCCAAUAGCUGGACCAUGACCGGGGUACGGUGACUUGCCAAGCCAGGGGGAUUUGUCUCAGCCCAUACUCCAGAGCUGUCCCUGUGUGUAUCAGGAGAGAGAUUUCCAGGCCUGGGAUCUGAAAUACCUGGGACCGCUGAUAAAGAUGGGAGCUCCUGAAGAAGCCACAGUGCUGGGGAGUUUCCAGGAAGAAGACAUUCUUGUGCAGAGGCCUGGAGAAUCCCUGCUUCUCAUUUCGAUUUACUGUAGUAACGUUUAAUUAUUUUAAAAAAGGUUGUGGAGACUACUUUUUAUUAUAUACUUUUGUGGUGAUGGUUAUAUAAAUGUGUUUAUCUCUUAAAAUUCAUAGAACUGCCCACCAAAAAAAUAAAUUUUUACACACAAUAAUUUUGAAAUAAUAUUAAAAAGGAAAAUAUAAAAUACAUGGUAUAAAUGAUUCCCAAAUAUAAUAUGAAAACUUUUAAUGUAAUUGUCAUAUGGCUUAUCUGAUGACUUAAAUGCCAAGGCAAAGUAGGCAUUAGACUUCCUGAUUGUUUUCUGUUCAUGGAUAAACAUUACCCAUGAAUAUAUUUAUUUAAAAUUAUCUAUAUAGCAAUAUGUUUACACAAAUUUGAUAAUAAUAUACUUGUUUAUACAACUUGAACUUUCCUUUGAUGUUAUUUCUUAGCCAUGUUUCACUUUCCAUGCAUGUAGGACUACCUCAUUUCAUUUAAUGACUAUGAAUAAUUUCAUGACAUAAACCUAGUAAUUUAACUCUAUUCAUUAAACCUUACAAUCUAUGUUUAUUUUAGAUCACUCUAAAACAUGAAUAAAUCAAAGUAUAACUUCGGUUAUUCACCUCAGUAGCGUUGUCUCUGUCUGCAUCUUGCUCUAGCUUGAGGCGCAGAAAGUGAAAUAAAAUAAUGUACUAGAUUUCCAAAAACCGAGAAACAUGGAACAAACUGAUUUUUAAGUGGCCUGAUAGUUGUACUAGGAAGUAAUAUGCUCAAUAUGUUUUUCUUCAGUAACUACAUUUUAGGGAUUUCUAAAUUUAAAGCAGGAUUAUUAUCUGAAAGAAAGUACUGGAAUACUCAAAAGAAUGUCCAAAAAUCCUAGAAGCACAGGGAAUAUAGCAUAUUUAUGUCCUGUUGAUUGAGUAUAUUCAUCAUUCAGAACCAUGAUAGACAGCAAAAUUCCAGCAACAUUAUCCUUUAAUAAUAGUAUGCAUUUAAUCUAAGUUUAAGAAAUCUAAGAUUAUUUUUCUUUCUUUGCUCCUUCCAAGAAUUCAGUUCCAACUUGAUUUGUGAGUGGAAUGAAGGUUCAGAGAUAGUAUUCAGUUAAAUUUUUAACCAAGACACAGAAAAACAGGAAUUCUUCUUCAGACUUGCAGUAUAUGUUUGUUUCACCAGAGAUCGACUGUUGGAUGUCUUUGGUUUG
ensembl:lncRNA